UGGGGAAUAUUGCACAAUGGGCGCAAGCCUGAUGCAGCCAUGCCGCGUGUAUGAAGAAGGCCUUCGGGUUGUAAAGUACUUUCAGUCGUGAGGAAGGUGGUAAGGUUAAUAACCUUGGCAAUUGACGUUACCGACAGAAGAAGCACCGGCUAACUCCGUGCCAGCAGCCGCGGUAAUACGGAGGGUGCAAGCGUUAAUCGGAAUUACUGGGCGUAAAGCGCACGCAGGCGGUUGAUUGAGUCAGAUGUGAAAUCCCCGGGCUUAACCCGGGAAUUGCAUCUGAUACUGGUCAGCUAGAGUCUUGUAGAGGGGGGUAGAAUUCCAUGUGUAGCGGUGAAAUGCGUAGAGAUGUGGAGGAAUACCGGUGGCGAAGGCGGCCCCCUGGACAAAGACUGACGCUCAGGUGCGAAAGCGUGGGGAGCAAACAGG
rnacentral:rRNA from 1 species